GACGUAGGGUGCGAGCGUUGUCCGGAUUUAUUGGGCGUAAAGAGCUCGUAGGCGGCUCGUCGCGUCGACCGUGAAAACCCGCGGCUUAACUGCGGGCUUGCGGUUGAUACGGGCGGGCUAGAGUUCGGUAGGGGAGACUGGAAUUCCUGGUGUAGCGGUGAAAUGCGCAGAUAUCAGGAGGAACACCGAUGGCGAAGGCAGGUCUCUGGGCCGAUACUGACGCUGAGGAGCGAAAGCGUGGGGAGCGAACAGG
rnacentral:rRNA from 1 species